rnacentral:tRNA from 1 species
GCGGGUAUCGUAUAGUGGUUUUUUAUAUCACCCUUCCAAGGUGAGGAGGCGGGUUCGAUUCCCGCUACCCGCUCCA